UUAGCGUUUACGAAAUCUUCAAAUUUAAGUAAUUUGCCUCGUAAUUUGCAGUUAAACAUGUUAGGUACCUAAUUUAAUUAUUUCCUAUAAACAAAUUAAAGUAAAAUGCUAGUGUUUGCGAUCGUCCCAUAGCGCUAAUCGGCGUUGGCUUCAGGUAAAUCAGAUAUGGAAUGGUUUCGAGGGCCGUAGUCGGGUCACGCCGAUCGCCAUUUAGAAGACAGGUCAGCGCGAGGGUCAACAGGUCAAAUUUUGGACGGGCGAACCAGAUGAAAACCAGUCUACAUUUAGGGACACAAGUUUUACUUAAUGAUCUGGAAGCUGUGGUCGUCGAAACAUGGAUCGAAUUGUAGAGAAGAAAUGUAGAUACGGGAUAGGAGUCUGCAAAACCUUACACCGCCCUCUCAUCAAAGCCGGAUUACUGCUAUUCCCAAUGGAGUCAAAGAGGUCCGUGAGACUCAUGGAUACUUGAACCUAACCAUUUCUGUUUACUCAUCACCUCUGAAUAGGAGUACGGUUCGUCCUUCCUUUGAUUAAUGCCGCUUCGUAGUAGAGACCGAAUUAAUAAGGCUAAAGGAUUCCUGAAGGGCAGCCUUAUAAAGGUAGGAUUUUUACUUUUUUACGUGCAUGGUGUAUUUUUUUUUAUUUUGUGUAUCUAGCAGUGUGUGGUGGGGAAGUGAAUGGUGGAAAAUCAAGGACAAUUUUCUGCUGCACGUUGUAUUGAAUUACCGAGUGGGUUUAACCAUCUUCUCGACAAUUCUUCAUCUUGGUGACGUAAGAUUGACUAUAAUGCUU